GAUGUAGAACGUAGCGAAAUGCGAUAAGUAAUGUGAAUUGCAGAAUUCAGUGAAUCAUCGAAUCUUUGAACGCACAUUGCGCCCCUUGGUAUUCCGAGGGGCAUGCCUGUUCGAGCGUCAUUUCAACCCCUCAAGCUCAGCUUGGUGUUGGGCUGCGCCAGCGUGCUGGCGGGCCUUAAAAUCAGUGGCGGUGCCGCGUGGGCUCCAAGCGUAGUAGCAUCUCUCGCUCUGGGGACCCGGCGGUUGCCUGCCAGACAAUCACUAAAAAAAACAAAAGGUUUGACCUCGGAUCAGGUAGGGAUACCCGCUGAACUUAAGCAUAUCAAUAAGCGGAGGA
rnacentral:misc_RNA from 1 species